GGAUUGAUGAUGACAUUCUUGUAUGCAUUCCUUGGGAAAUCUGUACUAAAUGAAUGAGAACGCUGUACCAUCUCCUCAAUGAAACUGAGGUCC